UGGGGAAUAUUGGACAAUGGGCGCAAGCCUGAUCCAGCAACGCCGCGUGGGUGAAGAAGGCCUUCGGGUUGUAAAGCCCUUUCGACGGGGACGAUGAUGACGGUACCCGUAGAAGAAGCCCCGGCUAACUUCGUGCCAGCAGCCGCGGUAAUACGAAGGGGGCUAGCGUUGUUCGGAAUUACUGGGCGUAAAGGGCGCGUAGGCGGACCAACCAGUCAGGGGUGAAAUCCCGGGGCUCAACCUCGGAAUUGCCUUUGAUACUGUUGGUCUUGAGGACGGGAGAGGGUCGUGGAAUUCCCAGUGUAGAGGUGAAAUUCGUAGAUAUUGGGAAGAACACCGGUGGCGAAGGCGGCGACCUGGACCGUAUCUGACGCUGAGGCGCGAAAGCGUGGGGAGCAA
rnacentral:rRNA from 1 species